GACGAACGCUGGCGGCGUGCUUAACACAUGCAAGUCGAACGGUGAAGCGCCUUCCUUUUUGGUGGGUGUGGAUGAGUGGCGAACGGGUGAGUAACACGUGAGUAACCUGCCCCCUUCUUCUGGAUAACCGCAUGAAAGUGUGGCUAAUACGGGAUAUUCUGGGUCUGUCGCAUGAUGGGUCUGGGAAAGAUAUUGUUUCGGUGGGGGAGGGGCUCGCGGCCUAUCAGCUGGUUGGUGGGGUGAUGGCCUACCAAGGCGGUGACGGGUAGCCGGCCUGAGAGGGUGGACGGUCACACUGGGACUGAGACACGGCCCAGACUCCUACGGGAGGCAGCAGUGGGGAAUAUUGCACAAUGGGCGCAAGCCUGAUGCAGCGACGCCGCGUGAGGGAUGGAGGCCUUCGGGUUGUGAACCUCUUUCGCCAGUGAAGCAGGCCUGCCUCGUUUGUGGGUGGGUUGACGGUAGCUGGAUAAGAAGCGCCGGCUAACUACGUG
rnacentral:rRNA from 1 species